GCCAUCUGCCUCUGCAGCCGCAGCACCUCCCGCUGGGACUCGCGCAGCAGCCCAUCGAAGUCCCACACGUAGAGCCACUGGGGACCCUCCUGAGGGGAUGUGUGGAUGCAUACAGCCAGACCCACCGGCAAACAGCCUCAAGCCUGGAGCGCAGAAAUGCCCAGGUCUGGGACUCAUGGCUCCACCCCUGUCUCCCUCUCCCACCUGGGCCGUUGCCAGGGGAACCUACUCCCAGCAACCUCCACCCUCCCGUUCAUUUGCAUCUCAUUAACAUCUUGUCCGCAUCCCACAACAGGCAGAUGGCCCUGUGCAGGGCUGAGCUGGAAGAGGUAACCAGGGCCUCCUCGCACCUUGCCCACCAGAGUGAGCCUGGCCUGCAGCUCCCUGCACUCCCGCUGCAAGGCAGCAAUCUGCUUGUCCUUGGCCAGCAGUGCACUGGCUGUCUCACUGAGGUCCCGGGCUCGCUGGCUGGCUAGGGCCUUCCGACACAACUCCAAGCUGGCCCCUGGCCGGCCAGGGCAAGGGGGCACUCACCUCGCCAGAGGAGGGCGGUUGGAAAGGAUUAACUCCACAUCUGAGUUUAGGAUCAAAGGAUG